UAACCAUUUGAUCAAAUUUUCUAUGGGUGAUGAUGAUAUGUUGAAAAUUAUGUCUAAGAAGAUGCUGUUGAAAUAUGACAAGUAUUGGAGGGAUUUUGAGAAAGUAAACAAAAUCUUAUUUAUUGCGGCCAUGCUUGAUCCGCAUGCCAAGUUGGAAGUUUUGGAGUUUUGGUCUACAGAUUUUCUUGGACAUGAGCGAGCAUCCGAAUUUGUUACAAGAUUAAGGAGGAUGAUUGAGCGGAUGAUUAAACAAUAUUCAAAAUCCAAUGUAGGUUCAAGUGUUGAUGAGAGUCAAAGCAACACAACCUCUUAUAAUGCGGAGGAUAUUUAUAGUAGGUAUCGACAGUAUUAAGCAUCAAGGGGUGUCGUAGAGUCCAAAUCAGAGUUGGAUCAAUAUUUUAUGGGGAGCCUUGAAGGAUUGACACCCAACUUUGAUAUUUUAAUGUGGUGAAAGAUGAAUUCAAUCAAUUUUCCGAUCCUUGCCAAUAUAGCUUGAGAUGUGUUAGCUAUUCCCAUAUGUACUAUUGCUUCUGAGUCUGCAUUUAGCGUUGAAGGUCGUGUCUUAGAUUAAUUCCGUAGCUCAUUGGCCCCUACAACAGUUGAAGCUCUUAUUUGCACACAAAAUUGGUUGAUGAUACCCUUCGUUAAUUAUGACUCCCAAGAUGUAAUGGAAGAUGCGGAAAGCUAUAAGUUAGAUACUGAGAUGAUGAUGAAUAUUUUGAAUGAGACCGAUUGAAGAUUACUUGAAUUUUUUUUAUGCUAUUCUGACUUGUCAUCAUAGGUGACAUGGGAAUUUUUGUUGUUUUUGGUCUUGUAAACUGGGAUUAUGCCCAUGUAGGACCAAGUACAUAAGUUUGGAAAUGAUACUCAGGAUGAAUACCAUUAUGAUCAUUUUAUACCAUACUAGUUCUGUA